CCCGCUGAACUUAAGCAUAUCAAUAAGCGGAGGAAAAGAAACCAACAGGGAUUGCCCUAGUAACGGCGAGUGAAGCGGCAACAGCUCAAAUUUGAAAUCUGGCCCUCGGGUCCGAGUUGUAAUUUGUAGAGGAUGCUUUUGGUGCGGUGCCUUCCGAGUUCCCUGGAACGGGACGCCAUAGAGGGUGAGAGCCCCGUCUGGUUGGACACCAAUCCUCUGUAAAGCUCCUUCGACGAGUCGAGUAGUUUGGGAAUGCUGCUCUAAAUGGGAGGUAUAUGUCUUCUAAAGCUAAAUAUUGGCCAGAGACCGAUAGCGCACAAGUAGAGUGAUCGAAAGAUGAAAAGCACUUUGAAAAGAGAGUUAAACAGUACGUGAAAUUGUUGAAAGGGAAGCGCUUAUGACCAGACUUGGGCUUGGUAGAUCAACCUGGGUUCUCCCUGGUGCACUCUUCCUCGUCCAGGCCAGCAUCAGUUCGCUGCGGGGGAUAAAGGCUUCGGGAAUGUGGCUCCCUCGGGAGUGUUAUAGCCCGUUGCGUAAUACCCUGCGGUGGACUGAGGUUCGCGUUCUGCAAGGAUGCUGGCGUAAUGGUCAUCAGCGACCCGUCUUGAAACACGG
rnacentral:rRNA from 1 species